rnacentral:rRNA from 1 species
UGGGGAAUUUUGGACAAUGGGCGAAAGCCUGAUCCAGCAAUGCCGCGUGUGUGAAGAAGGCCUUCGGGUUGUAAAGCACUUUUGUCCGGAAAGAAAUCCUUGGCUCUAAUACAGUCGGGGGAUGACGGUACCGGAAGAAUAAGCACCGGCUAACUACGUGCCAGCAGCCGCGGUAAUACGUAGGGUGCAAGCGUUAAUCGGAAUUACUGGGCGUAAAGCGUGCGCAGGCGGUUUGCUAAGACCGAUGUGAAAUCCCCGGGCUCAGCCUGGGAACUGCAUUGGUGACUGGCAGGCUAGAGUAUGGCAGAGGGGGGUUAGAAUUCCACGUGUAGCAGUGAAAUGCGUAGAGAUGUGGAGGAAUACCGAUGGCGAAGGCAGCCCCCUGGGCCAAUACUGACGCUCAUGCACGAAAGCGUGGGGAGCAAACAGGAUUAGAUACCCUGGUAGUCCACGCCCUAAACGAUGUCAACUAGUUGUUGGGGAUUCAUUUCCUUAGUAACGUAGCUAACGCGUGAAGUUGACCGCCU